ensembl:snRNA U2 U2 spliceosomal RNA
AUCGCUUCUCGGCCUUUUGGCUAAGAUCAAGUGUAGUAUCUGUUCUUAUCAGUUUAAAAUAAAUAAAACCAAAACAAAUGUUGGAAAUACAAGGAGAGAUAGAAAAGUCCACUAUCC